UGUGGAGGGAGAUGGGCCUGGCUGCUGGGGAGUGUACCAGAGGUGAAGCAGGGCAGAUGGCCUAAGACAGGGUACUGGGGUUGCAACAGGGCAGCCUAUGGGAAUGCUUCCACCCCAGAAACACUUCUGGGAAACAGCUGGAUGGUUUCUUCAUUUGUUUGUACAAGUCCCAUGGACAUUUUAAAAAAGUACCAGGGUGGGUUUCAGAGAAUUGCCUACAGCACAGCACUUGUGUAUGAGCAGAAGGAUACCAUGAUCCAAAACCUGGGUCUGUUGCAGUGAUGAUUCUGGGAAGGGCUGUUCUCAGACACAGAGUGGUGAGUCGCAAGACUGCACAUACUACUUUUCCAAGUGUGGUGUGAGAGCUGAGUCGUUUCCAAGAAUACCUGCCGCAUCCAAACCUAGCUAGGAAGAGCUGGAGAAACUGUCUGUAGUGUUCACCAUUCCCCAUGUUGUCAGGAGUAGGGGCUGUCACAGACAUGGGCACGCAUACGCGAUACAUGGAUUUGAUACACCCUGGCCAAUUUGGAUUGUCACCAGAACAAGGGAUUUCUCAGAUACAGUCUACAGCUUUGUCUCACUACAGACUUUCAGAAAGAGCAUUUGCAGUUUCAGACAUCCCCUCUACAGUGCUGAAGGGGGCUCAAAUUCAGCCCAGAGUCCAGGCCAAUUUCUUCCAGUAUCAUCCCUGGAAAAAGCCCCUUCCCCUUACAGAGGGCAGCUGGGAACUGGUUACAGUCUCCCCUCAACUGGAUUGGAGGGGGCAAUAGGGAGCCAGUACAGAUCCAAAAAGGCAGGUGGUGCUGGCCAUGCAGGGCCACAGGCAGUAUGGCCAAGGGAUGUGUUGACUUAGGCCCAACUCAGCAAAGCUCUUACAUUGAUGCAUAAGUCCUACCAGCACUACUACUGAAGGGGGUAAUAUAUAUGCCAAGCAAAUGGGACUUCAGCACAUGUUUUGCUGAAUUAGGGCCUUAGGUCUUGAUCCAAAGCCCACUGAAGUCAGCCAUGGUCUUUCCAUUGACUUCGAUAGGCUUGGAUCAGGCCCUCAGUGCAUACCCUGAGCCACCUUCCCCAGCAAAAGGAGCUUAAACCUCAGCAUGGGAGGUCCAGGAAGGCAGCAGCCCAUGCUGGCGCUGGCAGGCUGCCAUAACUUCCAACUUCUGGAGGCUGUUUGGGUGAAUCUAGCCCUAAAUGCUUCAGAGAAAAAAAAAUCAUAUCAAUAUAUUUCCCUUUUGAGAGUUCUAACUCUCUCCUCCCAGGGACCUAUUUCAAGGGCUAUUUUGUAAAGAAAGCUCCAUGGUUGUAAUUUUCCCUGGAGCCACUUCCAGGCACAGCUUUCACGUUAAUGUGCCAUGACAAGCUUUUCCCUUUCCCUUGAGGCAAUGAAGGGUGAAGGUGUAUAAACUGGAGGUUAGAAGGUCAUUGGAUCACAGAGCUCGCAAUAUGUCCUAUGCAUCAUGUUGCUCUGAGCGCUACUAAACAAAAAUGCCAGGCCUCUGGGGACAUUCUAGUUCAACAUUAGGUUCCCCCCAACCAAAAAAAUAUAAAUCCAUUUAUAUUUUCUUCACUCUUGGGACUGGAUUCCUCUCCAACUUACACUGGUGCAAAUCAGGUUAAACUAGUAGAAUUCUACUGGUUAACCUCAGUUAAAACCAGUAGAAUUCUACUAGCGUAAAAGCAGCAGGAAUAAGAUCAGAAUCAGUCCUAAAUAUUUUAGAAAUAGGCCAUUCAAGUCUGAAAAUUACAGAUUUUAUGGCAGCCACUUACUUUUAAAAAGACCAGAAUUAUUAUUUGAACUGUUUUCAAUAACUAUAUCCGUGGAGAGAAGAAGUCUUAUGACACAGUGUUAUACAUGGACUAAAACAAUG